AGUGAACGCUGGCGGUAGGCCUAACACAUGCAAGUCGAACGGCAGCACAGUAAGAGCUUGCUCUUACGGGUGGCGAGUGGCGGACGGGUGAGGAAUACAUCGGAAUCUACUUUUUCGUGGGGGAUAACGUAGGGAAACUUACGCUAAUACCGCAUACGACCUACGGGUGAAAGCAGGGGAUCUUCGGACCUUGCGCGAUUGAAUGAGCCGAUGUCGGAUUAGCUAGUUGGCGGGGUAAAGGCCCACCAAGGCGACGAUCCGUAGCUGGUCUGAGAGGAUGAUCAGCCACACUGGAACUGAGACACGGUCCAUACUCCUACGGGAGGCAGCAGUGGGGAAUAUUGGACAAUGGUCGCAAGCCUGAUCCAGCCAUACCGCGUGGGUGAAGAAGGCCUUCGGGUUGUAAAGCCCUUUUGUUGGGAAAGAAAAGCAGCAGGUUAAUACCCCGCUGUUCUGACGGUACCCAAAGAAUAAGCACCGGCUAACUUCGUG
rnacentral:rRNA from 1 species